GAAACGGAGCGCAACACUGCAAAUGUCACGAGGAAACACCCCGUUUCUCGCUGAUUUCACUGUUUUCAGGAAUGGUUUAAUGUCUUCGAAAAAGCCCGUUAGCAUUUCUACCGUUUUCAGACGACGUAUCGUCAGAAGGGAGUGUCCAAGAUUUCAAUAUUUCUGAAGGGAGCUGCUGACAGAGAUCUAGGAAGCGCUGAAAAGAUUCUUCAGUGCUGAUGGCCUGCUGCAUCCAGCAGAGUCGCAGUGAACCUACUGUAAGACAACAUCUCCAAGAUGCUAUUGACCACAAGACUAGUACAGGUUAUUAGAAACUGCACAGCACAGGACUUACAGGACUUGUGAGGACUUCAGAUGAUACCAGUACUCAAAAGACCUUAGAUGAUGGCAACUAUAGAUGGACAUACAAACUACCGCCACUGCA